UUGACCUCGGAUUCAGGUAGGA
rnacentral:rRNA from 1 species